GAACCUUCAAGUCCUCCCUCCCUCUUCCCUUCCUUUAUGCAACCCAGUUUAUUUUGCAAGGAAGACACAGCAGCACUCCCAGGCGGCACCUUCUCUCAAAAAAUAUGGUGUGACUCCUAAUUGGCGCCUGCCGCUAUGUGGCCAGGAAAAUAGCAGCAUCCCUGAGGAAUGAGGAUCUGGGGGAACCAGCGCUGAUGUGCAAGAACCGGGUCUGCCAAGUUGGCAACCCCCAAAAGGCAAAUGGAGCCAUCUGCCAGUUGCUCUGUGGGUCAGGGAUGCCCCUCCUGUUGCCACAUUAGAUGUUGGGAUCCAGAAGCCUCAUCUUGAUGGAACUGA